UACGUAGGUGGCAAGCGUUAUCCGGAAUUAUUGGGCGUAAAGAGCGCGCAGGUGGUUGAUUAAGUCUGAUGUGAAAGCCCACGGCUUAACCGUGGAGGGUCAUUGGAAACUGGUCGACUUGAGUGCAGAAGAGGGAAGUGGAAUUCCAUGUGUAGCGGUGAAAUGCGUAGAGAUAUGGAGGAACACCAGUGGCGAAGGCGGUUUCCUGGUCUGAUACUGACGCUGAGGCGCGAAAGUGUGGGGAGCAAACAGGAUUAGAUACCCCCGUA
rnacentral:rRNA from 1 species